UUUGCUGUGAUGAGCCGUAAACAUAAGAAGGCCAACCGAUCAAUUGGUACUUCAGUGAAAUUCCUUUUUACGCUUGGCUUCUGAGCUCA
rfam:Brachypodium distachyon strain Bd21 chromosome 2, whole genome shotgun sequence.